AAAACACCGCUUUUGGGUGAAGCGGCAGCGUGUUGUGUUGCUUUGCUUCAAUCAGUGGUGUGACAAGGUAAAAAUAUAUAUAUAU